rnacentral:rRNA from 1 species
UACGUAGGGGGCAAGCGUUGUCCGGAAUGAUUGGGCGUAAAGGGCGCGUAGGCGGCCUGUUAAGUCUGGAGUGAAAGUCCUGCUUUCAAGGUGGGAAGUGCUUUGGAAACUGGCGGGCUGGAGUGCAGGAGAGGUUAGCGGAAUUCCCGGUGUAGCGGUGAAAUGCGUAGAGAUCGGGAGGAACACCAGUGGCGAAGGCGGCUAACUGGACUGCAACUGACGCUGAGGCGCGAAAGUGUGGGGAGCAAACAGGAUUAGAUACCCUGGUAGUCCACACUGUAAACGAUGAAUGCUAGGUGUAGGGGGUAUCGACCCCUUCUGUGCCGGAGUAAACACAAUAAGCAUUCCGCCUGGGGAGUACGGCCGCAAGGUUGAAACUCAAAGGAAUUGACGGGGGCCCGCACAAGCAGCGGAGCAUGUGGUUUAAUUCGAAGCAACGCGAAGAACCUUACCAGGUCUUGACAUCCAGUAAAAUCUGUAGAGAUACAGUGUGCCUUCGGGCGUACUGAGACAGGUGGUGCAUGGUUGUCGUCAGCUCGUGUCGUGAGAUGUUGGGUUAAGUCCCGCAACGAGCGCAACCCUUGUGAUUAGUUACUAACGCGUAAAGGCGAGGACUCUAAUAAGACUGCCGGGGACAACUCGGAGGAAGGUGGGGACGACGUCAAAUCAUCAUGCCCCUUAUGACCUGGGCUACAAACGUGCUACAAUGGCCACUACAGAGAGCUGCGAGCCCGUAAGGGUAAGCGAAUCUCAUAAAAGUGGUCCCAGUUCGGAUUGUGGGCUGCAACCCGCCCACAUGAAGUCGGAGUUGCUAGUAAUCGCGAAUCAGCAUGUCGCGGUGAAUACGUUCCCGGGCCU